rnacentral:rRNA from 1 species
UACGGAGGGGGCAAGCGUUAUCCGGAAUUAUUGGGCGUAAAGAGUACGUAGGUGGCAACCUAAGCGCAGGGUUUAAGGCAAUGGCUCAACCAUUGUUCGCCCUGCGAACUGGGAUGCUUGAGUGCAGGAGAGGAAAGCGGAAUUCCUAGUGUAGCGGUGAGAUGCGUAGAUAUUAGGAGGAACACCAGUGGCGAAGGCGGCUUUCUGGACUGUAACUGACACUGAGGUACGAAAGCGUGGGGAGCAAACAGG